UGAGUAAUAUAUCGGAACGUGCCCAGUCGUGGGGGAUAACUGCCCCGAAAGCUGUGCUAAUACCGCAUACGAUCUACGGAUGAAAGCGGGGGAUCGCAAGACCUCGCGCGAUUGGAGCGGCCGAUAUCAGAUUAGCUAGUUGGUGGGGUAAAAGCCCACCAAGGCGACGAUCUGUAGCUGGUCUGAGAGGACGACCAGCCACACUGGAACUGAGACACGGUCCAGACUCCUACGGGAGGCAGCAGUGGGGAAUUUUGGACAAUGGGCGCAAGCCUGAUCCAGCAAUGCCGCGUGCAGGAUGAAGGCCUUCGGGUUGUAAACUGCUUUUGUACGGAACGAAACGGUCCUUUCUAAUACAGGGGGCUAAUGACGGUACCGUAAGAAUAAGCACCGGCUAACUACGUGCCAGCAGCCGCGGUAAUACGUAGGGUGCGAGCGUUAAUCGGAAUUACUGGGCGUAAAGCGUGCGCAGGCGGUUAUAUAAGACAGAUGUGAAAUCCCCGGGCUCAACCUGGGACCUGCAUUUGUGACUGUAUAGCUAGAGU
rnacentral:rRNA from 1 species